rnacentral:lncRNA from 1 species
CAUCGUUGCAGCGAUGUGGAUUGAAAUGCACUGGAGCGUCAAUGGAAGGUGAAUUUAUGAAGUGAAAUCAAACUUCAGAAAUCUAUUUUCAGUUUCCCAGUUAAUUUUCUUCUUCAAGCUCCCUGAAGUAAGUUCAGUCAGAAGGUACGAGUUACAACAGAAGAUGAAGACACCCCAUUUUUGCUUCAGGACCAAGUCGUCCUCAUAUCCAGAACUUCUGUUACUCAAACGGGUGCUGUGUUUGAAUCCUCUCCGGCUCCUGUGCAGAAGCACCGUGUGAGACUGCCCAGGUUGUGUCUGCUCUUAAUCGGUUCCACUCUCCUAUCUGUUUUUAAUCAGUUCAGAAUCCACAGGGGAAUGUUGGUGAAGAAUUAAUUCCCUCGAGUCUUCCAAUAUAUUUGCCUUUCUAAGCCUAUGAAAUAGAUUUCAUUGUAUGUUCAUUAAAAAUUCACAUGAGG